rnacentral:rRNA from 1 species
AUUGAACGCUGGCGGAAUGCUUUACACAUGCAAGUCGAGCGGCAGCACGGGGGUAAUCCUGGUGGCGCGCGGCGAACGGGUGAGUAAUACAUCGGAACAUGCCCAGUCGUGGGGGAUAACACUUCGAAAGAAGUGCUAAUCCCGCAUACGUCCUGAGGGAGAAAGCGGGGGAUCGCAAGACCUCGCGCGAUUGGAGUGGCCGAUGUCAGAUUAGCUAGUUGGUGGGGUAAAGGCCUACCAAGGCAACGAUCUGUAGCUGGUCUGAGAGGAUGAUCAGCCACACUGGAACUGAGACACGGCCCAGACUACUACGGGAGGCAGCAGUGGGGAAUUUUGGACAAUGGGGGCAACCCUGAUCCAGCCAAGCCGCGUGAGUGAAGAAGGCCUUCGGGUUGUAAAGCUCUUUCGGCAGGGACGAAACGGCGAGCUCUAACAUAGCUUGCUAAUGACGGUACCUGAAGAAGAAGCACCGGCUAACUACGUG